AAAAAAAAAGGACCUUAUAGCUGAAGACUCUUCUUUGAGUCAUAAAGGUGCAUUGAAAUGACUUGGGAACUGUGCACACUUUGGAGAGCUGUGUGUCCACUUGGAGACACCGGUUAGUCCUCUCACUCAAACCCUUUGUCAUUGGUAGGUAGGGAGUAGGGAGAGGUAGGGAGUAGGGAGAGGUAGGGAGUAGGGAGAGGUAGGGAGUAGGGAGAGGUAGGGAGUAGGGAGAGGUAGGGAGUAGGGAGAGGUAGGGAGUAGGGAGAGGUAGGGAGUAGGGAGAGGUAGGGAGUAGGGAGAGGUAGGGAGUAGGGAGUAGGGAGAGGUAGGGAGUAGGGAGAGGUAGGGAGUAGGGAGAGGUAGGGAGUAGGGAGAGGUAGGGAGUAGGGAGAGGUAGGGAGUAGGGAGAGGUAGGGAGUAGGGAGAGGUAGGGAGUAGGGAGAGGUAGGGAGUAGGGAGAGGUAGGGAGUAGGGGGAGGUAGGGAGUAGGGAGAGGUAGGGAGUAGGGAGAGGUAGGGAGUAGGGAGAGGUAGGGAGUAGGGAGAGGUAGGGAGUAGAGAGAGGUAGGGAGUAGGGAGUAGGGAGAGGUAGGGAGUAGGGAGAGGUAGGGAGAGGUAGGGAGUAGAGAGAGGUAGGGAGUAGGGAGAGGUAGGGAGUAGGGAGAGGUAGGGAGUAGGGAGAGGUAGGGAGUAGAGAGAGGUAGGGAGUAGGGAGAGGUAGGGAGAGGUAGGGAGUAGGGAGAGGUAGGGAGUAGGGAGAGGUAGGGAGUAGGGAGUAGGGAGAGGUAGGGAGUAGGGAGUAGGGAGAGGUAGGGAGUAGGGAGUAGGGAGAGGUAGGGAGUAGGGAGAGGUAGGGAGUAGGGAGAGGUAGGGAGUAGGGAGAGGUAGGGAGUAGGGAGAGGUAGGGAGUAGGGAGUAGGGAGAGGUAGGGAGUAGGGAGAGGUAGGGAGUAGGGAGAGGUAGGGAGUAGGGAGAGGUAGGGAGUAGGGAGAGGUAGGGAGUAGAGAGAGGUAGGGAGUAGAGAGAGGUAGGGAGUAGGGAGAGGUAGGGAGUAGGGAGUAGGGAGAGGUAGGGAGUAGGGAGAGGUAGGGAGUAGGGAGAGGUAGGGAGUAGGGAGAGGUAGGGAGUAGGGGGAGGUAGGGAGUAGGGAGAGGUAGGGAGUAGGGAGAGGUAGGGAGUAGGGAGAGGUAGGGAGAGGUAGGGAGGAGGGAGAGGUAGGGAGUAGGGAGAGGUAGGGAGUAGGGAGAGGUAGGGAGUAGGGAGAGGUAGGGAGUAGGGAGAGGUAGGGAGUAGAGAGAGGUAGGGAGUAGGGAGAGGUAGGGAGUAGAGAGAGGUAGGGAGUAGGGAGAGGUAGGGAGAGGUAGGGAGUAGGGAGAGGUAGGGAGUAGGGAGAGGUAGGGAGUAGGGAGAGGUAGGGAGAGGUAGGGAGUAGGGAGAGGUAGUGAGUAGGGAGAGGUAGGGAGUAGGGAGAGGUAGGGAGUAGAGAGAGGUAGGGAGUAGGGAGAGGUAGGGAGUAGGGAGAGGUAGGGAGUAGGGAGAGGUAGGGAGAGGUAGGGAGUAGGGAGAGGUAGGGAGUAGGGAGAGGUAGGGAGUAGGGAGAGGUAGGGAGUAGGGAGAGGUAGGGAGUAGGGGGAGGUAGGGAGUAGGGAGAGGUAGGGAGUAGGGAGAGGUAGGGAGUAGGGAGAGGUAGGGAGUAGGGAGAGGUAGGGAGUAGGGAGAGGUAGGGAGUAGGGAGAGGUAGGGAGUAGAGAGAGGUAGUGAGUAGGGAGAGGUAGGGAGUAGGGAGAGGUAGGGAGAGGUAGUGAGU